rnacentral:rRNA from 1 species
UACGUAGGGUGCGAGCGUUGUCCGGAAUUAUUGGGCGUAAAGAGCUUGUAGGUGGUUUGUUAAGUCUGUUGUGAAAGCCCCGGGCUCAACCUGGGAAUGGCAAUGGAUACUGGCAAGCUAGAGUGCGGUAGAGGGUAGUGGAAUUCCCGGUGUAGCGGUGAAAUGCGUAGAGAUCGGGAGGAACACCAGUGGCGAAGGCGGCUACCUGGACCAGCACUGACACUGAGGCACGAAAGCGUGGGGAGCAAACAGG